CUACGGGAGGCACCAGUGGGGAAUAUUGCACAAUGGGCGCAAGCCUGAUGCAGCCAUGCCGCGUGUAUGAAGAAGGCCUUCGGGUUGUAAAGUACUUUCAGCGGGGAGGAAGGGAGUAAAGUUAAUACCUUUGCUCAUUGACGUUACCCGCAGAAGAAGCACCGGCUAACUCCGUGCCAGCAGCCGCGGUAAUACGGAGGGUGCAAGCGUUAAUCGGAAUUACUGGGCGUAAAGCGCACGCAGGCGGUUUGUUAAGUCAGAUGUGAAAUCCCCGGGCUCAACCUGGGAACUGCAUCUGAUACUGGCAAGCUUGAGUCUCGUAGAGGGGGGUAGAAUUCCAGGUGUAGCAGUGAGAUGCGUAGAGAUCUGGAGGAAUACCGGUGGCGAAGGCGGCCCCCUGGACGAAGACUGACGCUCAGGUGCGAAAGCGUGGGGAGCAAACAGGAUUAGAUACCCGUGUAGUC
rnacentral:rRNA from 1 species